GAGGGAAUGGCUCAGUGGUAGAGCAUGUACUUAGCAAGCAGGAGGUCUUGGGUUCAAUCCUCAGUACCUCCA
rnacentral:tRNA from 1 species